rnacentral:rRNA from 1 species
AUGGACACGAUGGCGGCGGAGCAGCUUCUGGUGGAGGCGCAGGCGCAGGGGUUCGCAGCGUGGAUGCUCAGCGUGCGGCGGCGGAUCCACCAGCACCCGGAGCUGGCCUUCCAGGAGCACCACACCUCCGCGCUCGUGCGCGCCGAGCUCGACGUCCUCGCCAUCCCCUACGUCUGGCCCGUCGCGUGCACCGGCGUCGUAGCCACCAUCGCCGGCGGAGGCGGCCCGGGGCCGGUGUUCGCGCUCCGGGCCGACAUGGACGCGCUCCCCAUCCAGGAGAUGGUGGAGUGGGAGUUCAAGAGCAAGGAGGACGGCAAGAUGCACGCCUGUGGCCACGACGCCCACGUCGCCAUGCUCCUCAGCGCCGCCAAGCUGCUCCAGUCCCGCAAGGACGGCCUCAAGGGCACGGUGAAGCUCGUGUUCCAGCCGGCGGAGGAGGGCCACGCCGGCGGGUACCAUGUGCUGCAGGACGGCGUCCUGGACGAUGUAGCUGCCAUAUUUGCCGUGCACAUCAACACGAGCAUGCCGGUGGGCACCGUCGGCUCCAGGCCAGGGCCGUUCCUUGCCGGAUCUGCCCGCUUCAAGGCGACCAUCACCGGGAAGGGCGGCCACGCUGCCAUGCUCCAAUCCGUAGUUGACCCGGUGUUGGCCGCCUCCUCGGCCGUCCUUAGCCUCCAGCAGCUCGUUGCUCGUGAGAUCGACCCACUCCAGAGCGCAGUGGUGUCCGUAACCUUCAUCAAAGGAGGUGAAACUUUCAACGUCAUCCCGGAGUCUGUGACCUUGGGCGGCACCUUGAGGAGCAUGACAACAGAAGGACUAUCCUAUCUCAUGAAAAGGAUCAGGGAGGUGAUGAACAACAUGGUCAUGAGAUAA